rnacentral:rRNA from 1 species
UAAAUACUCUCUAGUGACCGAUAGUGAACCAGUACCGUGAGGGAAAGGUGAAAAGUACCCCGGAAGGGGAGUGAAAGAGAACUUGAAACCGUGUGCUUACAAGUAGUCAGAGCCCGUUAAUGGGUGAUGGCGUGCCUUUUGUAGAAUGAACCGGCGAGUUACGAUCUGAUGCAAGGUUAAGCAGCAAAUGUGGAGCCGCAGCGAAAGCGAGUCUGAAUAGGGCGUUGAGUAUUUGGUCGUAGACCCGAAACCAGGUGAUCUACCCUUGGUCAGGUUGAAGUUCAGGUAACACUGAAUGGAGGACCGAACCGACUUACGUUGAAAAGUGAGCGGAUGAACUGAGGGUAGCGGAGAAAUUCCAAUCGAACUUGGAGAUAGCUGGUUCUCUCCGAAAUAGCUUUAGGGCUAGCCUCAAGUGAUGAUUAUUGGAGGUAGAGCACUGUUUGGACGAGGGGCCCCUCUCGGGUUACCGAAUUCAGACAAACUCCGAAUGCCAAUUAAUUUAACUUGGGAGUCAGAACAUGGGUGAUAAGGUCCGUGUUCGAAAGGGAAACAGCCCAGACCACCAGCUAAGGUCCCAAAAUAUAUGUUAAGUGGAAAAGGAUGUGGCGUUGCCCAGACAACUAGGAUGUUGGCUUAGAAGCAGCCAUCAUUUAAAGAGUGCGUAAUAGCUCACUAGUCGAGUGACACUGCGCCGAAAAUGUACCGGGGCUAAACAUAUUACCGAAGCUGUGGAUUGUCCUUUGGACAAUGGUAGGAGAGCGUUCUAAGGGCGUCGAAGCAUGAUCGCAAGGACAUGUGGAGCGCUUAGAAGUGAGAAUGCCGGUGUGAGUAGCGAAAGACGGGUGAGAAUCCCGUCCACCGAUUGACUAAGGUUUCCAGAGGAAGGCUCGUCCGCUCUGGGUUAGUCGGGUCCUAAGCUGAGGCCGACAGGCGUAGGCGAUGGAUAACAGGUUGAUAUUCCUGUACCACCUAGUAUCGUUUUAAUCGAUGGGGGGACGCAGUAGGAUAGGCGAAGCGUGCUGUUGGAGUGCACGUCCAAGCAGUAAGGCUGAGUGUUAGGCAAAUCCGGCACUCAUAAGGCUGAGCUGUGAUGGGGAGAGGAAAUUGUUUCCUCGAGUCGUUGAUUUCACACUGCCGAGAAAAGCCUCUAGAUAGAUAACAGGUGCCCGUACCGCAAACCGACACAGGUAGUCAAGAUGAGAAUUCUAAGGUGAGCGAGCGAACUCUCGUUAAGGAACUCGGCAAAAUGACCCCGUAACUUCGGGAGAAGGGGUGCUCUUUAGGGUUCACGCCCAGAAGAGCCGCAGUGAAUAGGCCCAAGCGACUGUUUAUCAAAAACACAGGUCUCUGCUAAACCGUAAGGUGAUGUAUAGGGGCUGACGCCUGCCCGGUGCUGGAAGGUUAAGAGGAGUGGUUAGCUUCUGCGAAGCUACGAAUCGAAGCCCCAGUAAACGGCGGCCGUAACUAUAACGGUCCUAAGGUAGCGAAAUUCCUUGUCGGGUAAGUUCCGACCCGCACGAAAGGCGUAACGAUUUGGGCACUGUCUCAACGAGAGACUCGGUGAAAUCAUAGUACCUGUGAAGAUGCAGGUUACCCGCGACAGGACGGAAAGACCCCGUGGAGCUUUACUGUAGCCUGAUAUUGAAAUUCGGCACAGCUUGUACAGGAUAGGUAGGAGCCUUUGAAACGUGAGCGCUAGCUUACGUGGAGGCGUUGGUGGGAUACUACCCUAGCUGUGUUGGCUUUCUAACCCGCACCACUUAUCGUGGUGGGAGACAGUGUCAGGCGGGCAGUUUGACUGGGGCGGUCGCCUCCUAAAAGGUAACGGAGGCGCCCAAAGGUUCCCUCAGAAUGGUUGGAAAUCAUUCGCAGAGUGUAAAGGUAUAAGGGAGCUUGACUGCGAGAGCUACAACUCGAGCAGGGACGAAAGUCGGGCUUAGUGAUCCGGUGGUUCCGUAUGGAAGGGCCAUCGCUCAACGGAUAAAAGCUACCCCGGGGAUAACAGGCUUAUCUCCCCCAAGAGUUCACAUCGACGGGGAGGUUUGGCACCUCGAUGUCGGCUCGUCGCAUCCUGGGGCUGUAGUCGGUCCCAAGGGUUGGGCUGUUCGCCCAUUAAAGCGGUACGCGAGCUGGGUUCAGAACGUCGUGAGACAGUUCGGUCCCUAUCCGUCGUGGGCGUAGGAAAUUUGAGAGGAGCUGUCCUUAGUACGAGAGGACCGGGAUGGACAUACCUCUGGUGUACCAGUUGUCGUGCCAACGGCAUAGCUGGGUAGCUAUGUAUGGACGGGAUAAGUGCUGAAAGCAUCUAAGCAUGAAGCCCCCCUCAAGAUGAGAUUUCCCAACUUCGGUUAUAAGAUCCCUCGAAGAUGACGAGGUUAAUAGGUUCGAGGUGGAAGCGUGGUGACACGUGGAGCUGACGAAUACUAAUCGAUCGAAGACUUAAUCAA